rnacentral:miRNA from 1 species
UUUAAAAUCGGUUACCUUAUGACCGAUUUUAAAAGUCUCUGAUGUUACUUUUAAAAUCGGCUCUUUAAUAGCCGAUUUUAAA